AGUGAACGCUGGCGGUAGGCCUAACACAUGCAAGUCGAACGGCAGCACAGUAAGAGCUUGCUCUUACGGGUGGCGAGUGGCGGACGGGUGAGGAAUACAUCGGAAUCUACUUUUUCGUGGGGGAUAACGUAGGGAAACUUACGCUAAUACCGCAUACGACCUACGGGUGAAAGCAGGGGAUCUUCGGACCUUGCGCGAUUGAAUGAGCCGAUGUCGGAUUAGCUAGUUGGCGGGGUAAAGGCCCACCAAGGCGACGAUCCGUAGCUGGUCUGAGAGGAUGAUCAGCCAGACUGGAACUGAGACACGGUCCAGACUCCUACGGGGGGCAGCAGUGGGGAAUAUUGGACAAUGGGGGCAAGCCUGAUCCAGCCAUACCGCGUGGGUGAAGAAGGCCUUCGGGUUGUAAAGCCCUUUUGUUGGGAAAGAAAAGCAGCAGGUUAAUACCCCGCUGUUCUGACGGUACCCAAAGAAUAAGCACCGGCUAACUUCGUG
rnacentral:rRNA from 1 species